GGUGAGAUGGCCGAGUUGGUUAUGGCGCCAGGUUAAGGAAAGGUGUAUAUCCUUAGCAUCAGUUUCCUGGUGGAGCAAUCCUCCUGGGUUCGAGUCCCAGUCUCAUCA